rnacentral:lncRNA from 10 species
GGUUUCGCCAUGUUGGCCACGUUGGUCUCGAACCCCGGGCCUGAGUUCUAUUUCUAAGCAGUACAAUUUGCUUGAUUUAAUGGGGGAGUGGCAUCCAGAACUGUUUUAAAUUUUUUAAUUUUGGCCAGGCAUGAGCCACCACGCCUGGCCUAUUUUUUGAGACAGAGUCUUACACUGUUCAGGUUGGAGUGCAGUGGCAUAAACUCGGCUCACUGCAACCUCUGCCUCCUAGGUUCAAGCAGUUCUCCUACCUUGGCCUCCCAAGUAGCUGGGAUUACAGGCGCACACACAUCACUACACUGGCUAAUUUUUUCUAUUUUUUAGUGGAGAUUGGGUUUCACCAUGUUGACCAGGCUAGUCUUGAAUUCCUGACCUCAAGUGAUCCACCAGCCUUGGCCUCCCCAAAGUGGUGGGAUUGUAGGUGUGAGCUGCCACACCCAGUUUUUUUGUUUUUUUUGUUUGAGACAGUCUUGCUCUGUUGCCCAGGCUGGAGUGUGCAGUGGCACAGUCUCAGCUCACUGCAACCUCUGCCCCCGGGGUUCAAGUGAUCCUCCAGCCUGGGCCUCCCAAGUAGCUGAGAUUACAAGUGUGCACCACCAGGCCCAUCUAGUUUUUGUAUUUUUAGUAGAGACAGGGUUUCACCGGGUUGGCCAGAACUUCUGACCUCAGGUGAUCCACCUGCCUCGGCCUCCCAGAGUGCUGGGAUUACAGGUGUGAGCCACUGCGCCCGGCUUUUAUCUUUACAUCGAACCAAAGAGGAUGCCAAGGAUCUUCACUGGCUCUCACAUAAGACGGCCAUGAUCAGACAGGGUCUCACCCCGUGGCCCAGGAGCUGUGGGUAAAUCGAGUGAACUGCACUGUGUUGAAGGUGCAGGAUUGGAGUCCGGGUGCUGGGGGACUCACCCUCUCGCUCCUGGAGUCCAGAAGCCAGGACACCUUGGUCACUGUCCUGUGGCCUGCUUCACCCCAGGGCCCUCCUUCAGAAAUUAGUUGGAGUUUUUUUUAGUAACUGCUCAAGUCAGCUAUGAGUCACUGACCAAAGGACAAAGUGGUGCUGAACAGUGACUGCCAGGCUCCUAUCUGAGGCUCAGAGAGCACUUGUUCUAGACGCUUUCUGUUGUCACAGGGAAAGACAGCUCAAGCAGGAACACAGGCAGUGUGUCACCCCCAGGCCUCACUCCUUGCUGCACCUGUGCAGUCUGGCCUUCCUGGGCUUUGUCCUUCACCUGCUGUUUGACCACAUGUACCUGUCCACAAAGCAGUGACUGUGGGGCAGUCGCAGGGCUGACAGGUGCGGCAGAGGCAGAAGAGGCACCCAAGGGCGGCGGGGCCGUCAAACACUGACGCACUCUCCUCCUCCCCCAGAUGUUAGCACUUUAAGAAACUUAUCGAGGAGCCAAGGUUGGGAGGGAUCGGCUGGGGAAGUGGGAUCCCCACCUUUAAAUGGACCAUGCACAUACACGUAAAACAGUGAUAUCUUGGAGACAAGUUAUCAAAUCCCCCCACACUGAGCAGAUGCCAGACAACAGUUGAGUGCGCAGGAAGGACACACCAGGACCAGGCAGUUGCUUCAGGCGCUUUUAUUAGGUUCCACUGCAGGGCUGGGGUCAAUGUAAUGCAAAUCCAAGCCCAGUGAUG